GUGUUUGCUUCAGCAAUGCAUAUACUAAAAUUGGAACGGCACAGAAAAGCUAGCAUGGCAGCUGCACAAGGGUAACAUGCAAAUUUGUGUAGCAUUCCAUAUUUUU
rnacentral:snRNA from 1 species